GGGCCCGCACAAGCGGUGGAGUAUGUGGUUUAAUUCGAUGCAACGCGAAGAACCUUACCAGGGUUUGACAUCCUGCGAAUCUCUUGGAAACAGGAGAGUGCCUUCGGGAACGCAGUGACAGGUGCUGCAUGGCUGUCGUCAGCUCGUGUCGUGAGAUGUUCGGUUAAGUCCGGCAACGAGCGCAACCCACAUCCUUAGUUGCCAGCAGUUCGGCUGGGCACUCUAGAGAGACCGCCGGUGAUAAACCGGAGGAAGGUGUGGAUGACGUCAAGUCAUCAUGCCCCUUACAUCCUGGGCUACACACGUACUACAAUGCUACGGACAAAGAGCAGCAAGUUCGCGAGGACAAGCAAAUCUCAUAAACCGUGGCUCAGUUCAGAUCGUAGGCUGCAACUCGCCUACGUGAAGGAGGAAUCGCUAGUAAUCG
rnacentral:rRNA from 1 species